rnacentral:rRNA from 1 species
AUUGAACGCUGGCGGCAUGCCUUACACAUGCCAGUCGAACGGCAGCACGGGUGCUUGCUCCUGGUGGCGAGUGGCGAACGGGUGAGUAAUACAUCGGAACAUGUCCUGUAGUGGGGGAUAGCCCGGCGAAAGCCGGAUUAAUACCGCAUACGAUCUACGGAUGAAAGCGGGGGACCUUCGGGCCUCGCGCUAUAGGGUUGGCCGAUGGCUGAUUAGCUAGUUGGUGGGGUAAAGGCCUACCAAGGCGACGAUCAGUAGCUGGUCUGAGAGGACGACCAGCCACACUGGGACUGAGACACGGCCCAGACUCCUACGGGAGGCAGCAGUGGGGAAUUUUGGACAAUGGGCGAAAGCCUGAUCCAGCAAUGCCGCGUGUGUGAAGAAGGCCUUCGGGUUGUAAAGCACUUUUGUCCGGAAAGAAAUCCUUGGCCCUAAUACGGUCGGGGGAUGACGGUACCGGAAGAAUAAGCACCGGCUAACUACGUG